rnacentral:lncRNA from 1 species
CCUCUAUUAUUUAUUCUGUAAAGUAUGGGAACUGAACCUCAAAAGAAGGUUUUUGUCAGUUUGACAAUGCAUAGUAAAAUAAUUGCCUUUUAAAUUCAUUCCUUAGAAGAAGCAAAAAGAAGAAAAGAAGUUCCAGAAAAGAAAGCUAUUCAUGAAGUUAAAACAAAAGGUACUACCUUAUUUUAAAAUGUGGCAGUUAAUUUACCCACUCUUCAGAGACCUCUGCCUAUUAUAAUUCCUAAAGAAAUAGAAAUAAAAAUAAUUUAUGGUUCGUGUCUUAGAAGCAGAAGAAAGAAAAAAGGUAACUCACAAGAAGAAAAUUAUUCCUGAAAUUAAAGGGAAAGCUUUGGAACAGGAAAAGAAGGUAACCCAAGAGAAGAAAGCUAUUUCUGAAACAAAAAUUAAAGGGGGAAAAGAAGAAAGAAAGAAAGCUCUUGAGAAAACAGCUGUCCCUGAAGUUAAAAAGGCAGAACCAGAAAAAGCUCCUGCAGCCCAUCCAGCUUCUGUGAAGGUAGCUGUGCGAGAACCAUUCAAGAAAGAAAAGCCAGUCGAAAGAGCCAAGCAGCCAGUGAAGGAUGUGCCUGUAAAAGCAUCAGCAGUACAUGAAAAGAAAGAAGACAGAUUAUUAAAGGCAGUGGAGCAAGACAAACCAAAAUCCAAAGAAACAAAAGAUAUCAGAGGGAAAGAAGCAAAACAUGUGGCACCAAAAGUCAAAGAUGUUGCAAAAGAAAAAGUGAAGUCUCCUACUACUGUGAAAGAAAAAGAGGCAGUAAAACCAAAGGAAGUAAAGCCUACCAUUCCCCAGAAGCAGAAAGCACCUGAAGUGAUAAAAGAAACCAAAGAUACUUCUCAUCGUGCCAUUGCAGGACAAGAGGUUCUUAAGCACGACAAAGGAGCUCCUCAAGGAAAGCCAGAAGAAAUCACAGUAGCAGAUAAGAAAAAAGCAGAAAAGCCUUUGAAGGAAAAAGACAGAAAAAUGGCAGCGGUGACUCAUUUGAAAGAAGAAAAAGCCAAGGUCCCAGCAGUAAAAGAAUCCCAUCACCAUCGUAACAUGACAACAGACAAGCUUUCAAAGGCUUCAAAAGCAACAGCUGCUGUCCGCUACUAUCAGUGUGUCUUUGUAAAUGGAUACAAUGACUACAAACCGCAACACCCUGUUACCCCUGCCCAGGACUACAAAGGAAAGGCCGGGCAGACAAAAAAUUCUGGGCACAAGAUCAAGACACUGAAACAAUAG